rnacentral:rRNA from 1 species
CAGCCGUAAACGAUGUGCGUUAGGUGUAUCGACGACCACGAGUUGUCGAGGUGCCGAAGGGAAACCGUGAAACGUACCGCCUGGGAAGUACGGUCGCAAGGCUGAAACUUAAAGGAAUUGGCGGGGGAGCACCACAACAGGUGGAGCCUGCGGUUUAAUUGGACUCAACGCCGGGAAUCUCACCGGAUAGGACAGCGGAAUGAUUGCCGGGCUGAAGACUCUGCAUGACUAGCUGAGAGGAGGUGCAUGGCGUCAGUGACU